rnacentral:misc_RNA from 1 species
AGCUACAGUUGGUGUUGGAAAUUUUGUGUGUAUAACUACGUCCCCACCUUGCCUUCCCUCUUCAAGCAAAAGAAAACUUUUCUUUUUGCGUGUGUGUGUUGCAGGUGGGAGGAUGGUGUACUAUACUUGUUCUGUACUACAUGCAUAUGGCACUACCAUAGCAUUUUAAUUUUUGUUAGUAUUCAUUUAUUAGAUGAUGAUUUGAAAUGAAGGGGUAUUUGAAUUUGAUAUUAAUAUUGUUCUUUUUUACAUAUGAUUCUCCACUUGAAACAUAAAUUCAAAUCCACUUUCAUUUUAAAUGCACAUCUAUCCA